CAAAACUGCACAGGAUCUUUUCAGGGGGCAAGACAAAGAUGCCACAUUUAUUCUGAUAACAAUCUGAUCUAUGAUCAAUAACUAUUAUCUACACACACACAGACACACACACACACACACCCCACAUGUUCUGUUACCAGUCCCUUGAUUUCCCAGCUUGGGUUCGUAGCUCGGGGCGGUCACUGGCCAGGAAAGCUGGGCACAAGGACGAGCUGGGUCUCUGUUGGGCCUGAACUGAUGCCCGUCCAUGUUGGCAGCAGAACGUUCCCCUCCAGCGUCUCCCAUCUCACCCUCCUUUCUGUGGGCUUUAGUCUGAAUCCAGAGUCUAUCGGUCUCGCUGUGUCACUGCCCUGGGUGUGGUGACUGAUCACCCGUCAUUGCAGGCGACUGUCAGCCUGGGACCUGGCUUUGACCUUCCCUCUAUUGCACCUUCUCUGUUUAGCGUGGACUCUGCUUACUUAGUUAGGGCUCUGGGCUGCAGCUUCAGCUGGGGGGCGUUGAACUCCGUUUCAUCAGGACAGGCUGGGCUGGAGGUUGAGUCCAUCAUCCAUCCACACCUCAGUCACACAGCGAAACUAACUGAGAAGAGCACAGCAGGGUUUGCACAAAUGGAGCUUGGAGGAAGCUUUUACAAAGUGGAGUGAGCGUUUGAAAUCGGGGGUUGGAUUACAGUGUGGCAAACAGAACAGAAGGUACAACGCAGGCGAGUGUAGUGGAUGGUGAACCGUGAACAGAAGGUACAAUGUAGACGAGUGUAGUGAAUGGUGAACCUUGAACAGAAGGUACAAUGUAGACGAGUGUAGUGGAUGGUGAACCGUGAACAGAAGGUACAACGCAGACGAGUGUAGUGGAUGGUGAACCGUGAACAGAAGGUACAACGCAGGCGAGUGUAGUGGAUGGUGAACCGUGAACAGAAGGUACAACGCAGGCGAGUGUAGUGGAUGGUGAACCGUGAACAGAAGGUACAAUGUAGACGAGUGUAGUGGAUGGUGAACCGUGAACAGAAGGUACAACGCAGGCGAGUGUAGUGGAUGGUGAACCGUGAACAGAAGGUACAACGCAGGCGAGUGUAGUGGAUGGUGAACCGUGAACAGAAGGUACAACGCAGGCGAGUGUAGUGGAUGGUGAACCGUGAACAGAAGGUACAACGCAGGCGAGUGUAGUGGAUGGUGAACCGUGAACAGAAGGUACAACGCAGACGAGUGUAGUGGAUGGUGAACCGUGAACAGAAGGUACAACGUAGACGAGUGUAGUGGAUGGUGAACAGUGAACAGAAGGUACAAUGUAGACGAGUGUAGUGGAUGGUGAACCGUGAACAGAAGGUACAAUGUAGACGAGUGUAGUGGAUGGUGAACAGUGAACAGAAGGUACAACGUAGACGAGUGUAGUGGAUGGUGAACAGUGAACAGAAGGUACAAUGUAGACGAGUGUAGUGAAUGGUGAACAGUGAACAGAAGGUACAACGUAGACGAGUGUAGUGAAUGGUGAACAGUGAACAGAAGGUACAACGCAGGCGAGUGUAGUGGAUGGUGAACAGUGAACAGAAGGUACAACGCAGGCGAGUGUAGUGGAUGGUGAACAGUGAACAGAAGGUACAACGCAGGCGAGUGUAGUGGAUGGUGAACAGUGAACAGAAGGUACAAUGUAGACGAGUGUAGUGAAUGGUGAACAGUGAACAGAAGGUACAACGUAGACGAGUGUAGUGGAUGGUGCACAGUGAACAGAAGGUACAACGCAGGCGAGUGUAGUGGAUGGUGAACAGUGAACAGAAGGUACAACGCAGGCGAGUGUAGUGGAUGGUGAACAGUGAACAGAAGGUACAAUGUAGACGAGUGUAGUGAAUGGUGAACAGUGAACAGAAGGUACAACGUAGACGAGUGUAGUGGAUGGUGAACAGUGAACAGAAGGUACAACGCAGGCGAGUGUAGUGGAUGGUGAACAGAAGUUACAUUAAUACAGUGAACAAUUAAAAACAAUUUGAUUUAUCAGUUGUACAGGCCGGG